ensembl:snRNA U6 U6 spliceosomal RNA
GUGCUUGUUUGGCAGCUUGUAUACUAAAACUGGAACAAGAAGGAGAAGAUUAGCAUGACCCCUGUGCAAAGAUGACAUGCAAACUCAUAAAGCAUUUCAUAAAUUU